GACGAACGCUGGCGGCGUGCUUAACACAUGCAAGUCGAACGGAAAGGCCCUGCUUUUGUGGGUUGCUCGAGUGGCGAACGGGUGAGUAACACGUGAGUAACCUGCCCUUGACUUUGGGAUAACUUCAGGAAACUGGGGCUAAUACCGGAUAGGAUCUCCUGCUGCAUGGUGUGGGUUGGAAAGUUUCGGCGGUUGGGGAUGGACUCGCGGCUUAUCAGCUUGUUGGUGGGGUAGUGGCUUACCAAGGCUUUGACGGGUAGCCGGCCUGAGAGGGUGACCGGCGACAUUGGGACUGAGAUACGGCCCAGAAUCCUACGGGAGGCAGCAGUGGGGAAUAUUGCACAAUGGGCGGAAGCCUGAUGCAGCAACGCCGCGUGCGGGAUGACGGCCUUCGGGUUGUAAACAGAUUUCGCCUGUGACGAAGAGUGAGUGACGGUAAUGGGUAAAGAAGCACCGGCUAACUACGUG
rnacentral:rRNA from 1 species